rnacentral:rRNA from 1 species
AACGUAGGUGGCGAGCGUUAUCCGGAUUUACUGGGCGUAAAGCGUGUGCAGAUGGGAUAGUAAGUGGUGUAUGAAAUCGCUCGGCUUAACCGGGCGGGGUUAUGCCAGACUGCUAUUCUAGAGAACGGGAGAGGGACGUGGAAUUCCGGGUGUAGUGGUGAAAUGCGUAGAGAUCCGGAGGAACCCCUGAGGCGAAGGCGGCGUCCUGGCCCGGUUCUGACAUUCAGACACGACAGCAUGGGGAGCGAACGGG